ensembl:lncRNA
UUCUACUCUCAGUUAUUAAUCUCCCUGCCUUGAUGGGAAGUUGCUACAUUCUGCCAAUGUGGUACAUUUUGUGUGGGUGAUUCCACAGAAGAAUUAUGAUGAAUGCUGUUAGUAUUAAUCAUUGUGUUCUUGAAUUAUAGCACUUGAAGUAAGACACUGUCUGGAGAAAAGAGGAGAAGAAGAAUCAUAUCCAUGUGACAAGCUGAUAUAGCUCUACCAACACUCUACCAGCUCUACCAACACAAUGAGGCUCCAGGGAGACCUCACUGUGGCCUCCCAGUACUUGAGAGGAGCAUAUAAACAGGAGGGGGGACGACUGUUUACAUGGGUAAAAGAGCUGAAGAUCUAUUACCUUAACCAUUAGCUAAUGGGUGAAGACUGCUGAAGUUCUGGGACAGUGUUCACAGAAUUACCUGUACUGCUUGAAGGACCAAUUGAACAUCAACCCACAUCCUCAAGCACGUGAGAAAGUCUGGGGAAAAAGCCUCUCUGAGCUCAGGUCUCCACCUGAGGUUUAGUGCUAAUUGACACCGUAGCAAAAACAAGCUCCAUCAGACAUCAGUGCAAUGAAGCUUGUCCAGCCUAUUAGUUUCAGUGCAUUUUUCUGUCAGGUAACAAAG